rnacentral:rRNA from 1 species
CUUGGUCAUUUAGAGGAAGUAAAAGUCGUAACAAGGUUUCCGUAGGUGAACCUGCGGAAGGAUCAUUAUUGAAAAACUUCUCAAGUUUUUAAUAUCCUAUUGUCUACCUACCAUGUUGCUUCCACUGGACGUGUUUUACCUUGUGUAAGACCUUUGGCUUGUGUGAAUAACCCAAGUCAGGGAGUUGCCAGUGGCAAGACCAUCUACCAAAACUUGCUUAAAAUACUACUGUCUGAAUCUUUUGCUUCAAUGAAAUAAAACUUUCAACAACGGAUCUCUAGGCUCUUGCAUCGAUGAAGAACGCAGUGAAAUGCGAUAAGUAAUGUGAAUUGCAGAAUCUCGUGAAUCAUCGAAUCUUUGAACGCACAUUGCGCCCUAUGGUAUUCCGUAGGGCAUGCCUGUCUGAGCGUCAGCUCCCCCCCCACUCAAGUAUCUUUACUUUUUUGAUUCUUGGACUGAUUUGGAGAGGUGUCUUGUCAUGUAGACGCCCUCCAGAAAUUCAUAGGCAGUAUGGUUUGCACCUGAACCAGACGUAAUAAUAAUAAAAUCGUUUGUUUGGGUAUGAUUGUGCUUGCCUUAACCCACCCAUUUCUUUGUUUGGGUGACCUCAGAUCAGGUAGGGAUACCCGCUGAACUUAAGCAUAUCAAUAAGCGGAGGA